GGGGUCGUAGUCCAACGGCAGAGACACAGGUCUUAGGAACCUGACAGUGUGGGUUCGAAUCCCACCGACCUCA
rnacentral:tRNA from 1 species